rnacentral:lncRNA from 1 species
GAGACAAACGCAUUAUAUAACGCAAAAAUUUAAUUCGGUCGUAAACAAUUUGAAGCUGCAGGAGGUUAUUGAAAUGAGCGAAAAAAAGCAUAAUCGAAUAUACUGAUUAGAUGUUCUUAAUUCUUUGUUUUCGGCCUACCUCGACCUCGACCUCGAGGCUUCCGAGCAUUGGAAACUGGCAUAUCAUCAUCACUUAUACAAUCUUCCGAAUUCAAUCCUGCAUCGCGACAACGCCCGCAAGGACGCUGACGAUCGCAACCUUUUUUUGACUUUUUACACCUUGAACAUCUGCUUCUACUAAUAGCAGCAGCAAAAUCAGAAAACGUAACCGAAGAAGUGGAAUUGGGAUUAACUUCCGAUGCUUCUUUACCCUUCCGUUCAACUGUUGAACUGGAAACAGUCAUUGGGCCAGUUGAAGCGAGACUUGUAUUUGACGACGAAGCAUCUAAAGUUGAAGUAUGGUUAUGGUCAGGGCGACGCCGUUUAGCAGAAGUAGAGGAAGAUGCGUUACCAAAAUCUUGAGGAGGAAGAGAACGUUUCUCUACUUUUUCGGAUUUUACAACUCCAGAUGCCUUCGUAGGUUUAACUGUGGAUUGAACGGGGCUUGAAAUAGAUACAAAGCUUUUAGAAGGUGAUGAUUUGACAGAAUUGGAACUUAAAGCCCCUAAACGGAUUAGCUGCCAAGCUACGUCUUCGUCAGAUAUAGUGCUUUUAGACGAUUCAGCCGAUGGAGGAGCAGGAGCAGCAAUUGGCUGAGGAAGAGAUACUGGUUGAGUUGAAUAUUGAACUGGAUAAGGAGUAGGUAAAGAUAAAGGGGAUCUAUCUGAUGAGUUCAAAAUAGGAGGUAUAGAACAACUUUUAGUUUUAGUAAGAUGAUUUGGAAGAGGCUCGCAAUAGGAACAAACCUGGUUAGGGGAUGUCGAUUUUUGAGGAACAGCAACGUAACGAGGAUUGGAAAAGGAAUGAGGAGAAUGAGAAACUGUGUAGGCUGGUGAAGCAACUUGUACUGAGUUGUUGCCAUUUAUUACACUAUAGGCGGGAUAGUACUGGGCGUUUGAUGCAUUGGUCUCUAAAGCCGGCAUUACAGUAGAUGGUUGUGAUGCAGAAGUCUGAUGACCGGGAGCGCCAUGAGAAGAAAUCACCCGCACAUUAGAAGGCAGAGACCACAUAUUGUUCACGGGGUAAUGUCCUUGUGCUACAGGAGGAUAAUAAUAAUUAGGAGAAGGUAAGGCGAUGGUAGCUGGAAGAGGCGCCGUAACAACUGAAGCAGAAGGGGUAGAAAUAGGCUGUAAAAUGCUAUGCAAAUCCAUUGUUGAAAGGUGAUAGAUAAAUGGAUAGGAACUGUAACCUAAUAAACUUUUAAAAAAAAGAAAAAUCAAAAACAACUUGUGAGAAGUGUUGCUUCUAUGUAAUGCUCAAAAAAAUGAAAUUCACACUCUAAAAAAAUUGGCAUCCAAUGUUAACGAAAAUAUAAAUGCCCAAACCAAAAUCAGGAAUUGAGAGUAGACUAAGUACAAUAAAAAACAGGCAGAUACGGGGAAUCAAGACAAUAAUAAAAAAAAUAAGAAAUCAGGUAUUUUGAAAACAAGGCAAAACAUAAACGGAUGCCCAAGGAGAAAACAAAAAAAGAACAAAAAACAAAAGACGAUCACAAGCUUAUCAAUGAAUGUAAGAUUGAAACAGGAACAGAGAAGCGCGUGAAAAAGAAAAGAAAAGUUUAAAAUGAAUCAAUUACGCUAGCUAUGAUAAUACUUUCACCAGAAAUAAAGAAAUUGGUAAGCAAAUUAAAGAAAAGAGGUAAGGGGGCAAAAACGAAAAACAAAAGAUAAAUCUUCAAUCAACAAAUGGAAAAAUAAAUAUCAGGCGAUAGUGGGAGAAGCAAAAUUUUGUCAAAUUAAACUCAACAAACAAGAUGGUAUAAUCAACGACGAUCGAUUUUUUCAGACUUCUGGCAGCAAAAAAAAAACCACGAAAAAGGCAACACGAAGGGGGAAAAGUACAAAAGAAAGAUUCGCGAAUGCACAAAAAUCGAAAUCAAAACACAAAAGAUAAGCGCGAUACGAAUAGCACGAAAGCGAAAAAAAAAAUUUCAAGAAUAUGCUUGGAUCGGAAACGAAAAGAAAGAUGCUAUUUAGAGCAACAAAAGAGGAAUUCGAAUAGGUGUAUAAAGAGAAAUAUACGAAAUUAUAAAUAGGUGAAAAGAAUGGGUGUAAAUAUGUAUAGGUAUAGAGCUAAAUUGCAAAAUGAAUGGUGGAUUAAUAAAUAAAGGGGAAAGACGAGGAUAUAAACGGGGGAAA